AGAAGCUCCAGCCCUUGUCAAUGAUCACUCAGUAUGGGAAAUGGAUUGUGGAGUAAUCAGAGUGGCUGUGGGGAGACCUCUUAGGAAGAAAUUACAGUUCAGUAUUCUAAAUAGGAGGAGUAGCCACAGAGAUGGGAAAAAAGUGAAUGAAGUCAAAACAUAAUUCAGAGUUUAUGUCCAUGCUGCAGAUAUAAAGGAUGAAGUUGUAGGGCAGGAAGUCUUAUGUAACUUGGAGCAGCUACUCAAUGGAAAUCACAAACAGAAUGAGUUUCAUCCACAUGUCAAGACACUACUACCAACAGAGCUAUUUCAGGACACCUACCUAAAUAACUAGCUGUCUCUUCCACUUAAAGCAAGGAGAGUCUUCUCUUAUCUUCAAGAAGAAUAAAAAGUGAAGCUGACAUUACUUGGAAAGAGAAUAAACAAAAUCUGUCAUGAGGACUGCAGGGAUGAAUGACACAAACCAGCCAUUUCUUUGAGAGUCAGGAAAUAUCUAGUUUAUACAAUAAGCUGAUCUACCAAUAAAAUACAAUUGGUGUUGAAA
ensembl:lncRNA LINC01798 long intergenic non-protein coding RNA 1798